GUCCACGCCCUAAACGAUGUCUACUAGUUGUUGGGUCUUAAUUGACUUAGUAACGCAGCUAACGCGUGAAGUAGACCGCCUGGGGAGUACGGUCGCAAGAUUAAAACUCAAAGGAAUUGACGGGGACCCGCACAAGCGGUGGAUGAUGUGGAUUAAUUCGAUGCAACGCGAAAAACCUUACCUACCCUUGACAUGGAUGGAAUCCCGGAGAGAUUUGGGAGUGCUCGAAAGAGAACCAUCACACAGGUGCUGCAUGGCUGUCGU
rnacentral:rRNA from 1 species